GACGAACGCUGGCGGCGUGCUUAACACAUGCAAGUCGAACGGAAAGGCCCUGCUUUUGUGGGGUGCUCGAGUGGCGAACGGGUGAGUAACACGUGAGUAACCUGCCCUUGACUUUGGGAUAACUUCAGGAAACUGGGGCUAAUACCGGAUAGGAGCUCCUGCUGCAUGGUGGGGGUUGGAAAGUUUCGGCGGUUGGGGAUGGACUCGCGGCUUAUCAGCUUGUUGGUGGGGUAGUGGCUUACCAAGGCUUUGACGGGUAGCCGGCCUGGGAGGGUGACCGGCCACAUGGGGACUGAGAUACGGCCCAGACUCCUACGGGAGGCAGCAGUGGGGAAUAUUGCACAAUGGGCGGAAGCCUGAUGCAGCAACGCCGCGUGCGGGAUGACGGCCUUCGGGUUGUAAACCGCUUUCGCCUGUGACGAAGCGUGUGUGACGGUAAUGGGUAAAGAAGCACCGGCUAACUACGUG
rnacentral:rRNA from 1 species